CGGGCGGCGCUGGCAGACGCAGCCGUGGGUGGGGCGGGCUCCAGGCACAGCGGCCCUGGAGUAUUCCUUUUCCCUUCCGGACCUCCCUCUCCUGCAAAACCACCCGGAUCGGCCUCUCUUCCCGCUGGCCUGGCUCAUUCAUUUCACUCCUCCCCCGGAGUUGGCCGCCCUUGGAGGAGUGGGCGGGCCCGACUAGCAGGCGGAACCCGCGUGGAGCCUGGCGCGGUGGUGCCGAGACCGCGGAACCCAGGACGGCACAAAGGACUUGAUGCCCGAACCAGGUUCUUAUCAGCAUUAUCACCGAGUCUUCCCAACAACUCGUUGUGAUGGAGAGUGGUGUUCUCCCCAUUUUAUAGUUGCGGAAAAUGAAGCCUCAGUAACUUUGUCCAGCCUACUCACACAGUAAAUAAUAGCGUCAGAAAUUGACUUACCAAUGCCUCUGCAAUGCCUCUCUUCUAUACUUGUAAGCCAAGUGUUUGACAAAUGCCCUUUGAACAAUCUUUCGUCUCAGCUCUGUAUUCAUCUGCCCUCUGAGGGGAUACAGCGAGGUAGAAGCCUCAGCCUCUGCCUUCUAGGUUUGUACACCUGAACCAGUCGACUGAAAAUGCAAAGCGCUCCAGUGAGUGGUGCAGGCUGUUCAGAGGCGGGAGAGAUGGCAGUCAGCUGGAGUGCAUCAGGAAGGAUGCUGAUUUGAGCUGGGUGUGAUUUGGAAGAACCUGUUCCAGGUCCGGGACAGCCAAAGCAAAGACUCACAGGCCCUGCUGCCUCGUCAGAACCACCAAGCCUGUACCUGAAAGUGUCUCCCGGCCUUGGAGUGCUCAAGUUCUCUUGGACUCUCUGCUUCGUUCUGGAAAUAUGUGGGCUCCAGCUCCGGCAGUGUCAAAACAGUCCUGCUGCAGCUACUCCUUAGCCCAGGACCCGAGACAGAACCGUCCCUGUGGCAGCAGCUGGUGUCAUUUCGGGAGGCAGUGACAUUUGAGGAUGUGACCAGAGAUUGAAAGUGUCAAGAGACCUCUCAGAAGGAUUGCAGCAGGGGCACAAUGCUGGACAGUUGCAAGAAGCCAGUCCCUCAGCGAUCCUUCUUCCAGUUAGUUCUCCAUGAUGCCACAGAGAGCUGGAAAUGAUCCCCCUGGGGUUUCAAAUCCAAGUGAAAUGGAAAAGGAGUUCACAGGUAUUCAGGAGCUGUACUUAAGGAAUUACAUCCAAAGAGCCUCAUCUGUACCUGGACUUGAUUGAGAUGGUGUAUUGGUUUGCUAGGGCUGCCGUAACAAAGUACCACAGACUGGGCAGUUUAAGCAACAGAAAUUUAUUUUCUCACAGUUCUGGAGACUAGAAGUCCAAGAUCAAGGUGCACGUAGGUUUGGUUUCUUCUGAGAUCUUUCUACUUAGUUUGCAGAUGGUUACCUUCUCACUGAGUCCUCACAUGGUCUUUCUUCUAUGAGCACACAUCCCUGGUGUCUCUAUUCCUAAUCUCCUCGUCUUACAAGGAUACCAGUCAGUUCAAGAAGGGCCCACCCUAUAGCCUCAUUUUAACUUAGUCACCUCUUUAAAGACCUAUCUCCAAGUACAGUCACAUUCUGAGGUACUGGGGAUUAACAUAUGAAUUUGGGGGGGACACAACUCAGCCCAUAACAACUGGCAAAUGUAUUGUAAAUUUUUGAAACUUCAUAUUUCCCUGAUGCCUCACCAGGUAACCAGGUGCACCAGUGUGAUCAGGCUGAUCUGGUUCCUGGCACAAUUUCCCCUUUUUGGUCUCCCCUCUCUGUGACCUAGUGACAUUCAAACGCACCAAUGAAAUCCCCUCAUGCCUUUUGCCUGUGGACUCCACCCUGACCCCGUAAAGACAUUUGCCCACGGGUCCUCACUCUCGCUCUCAGCUCUCCAUCUGUUUGGUGGAGCCCACUCCCUGGGUGCUCCUCCCAUGUGGCCCCUGCGUGGCAUGCCGCGCGCCCCUCUUCUAGGACCUCUAAUUUCUUACGCCUCUCAGGUGGCACUGCCACAGCCACGUUGGAAUAAUCCUCAAAGACUCCACAAAGGGGACUUAACUCCCCCACUUAAAACACAGCAAGAGUCUGGACUUUCAGCUGGUUGAUGCUGGAAUGGGAUGAGAUGCUUGGGGACCUUGGGCUAGGUGAGCAUAUUUGUCAUGAGGGAGGAAUGUAAGUACUUUGUGACCAGAAAGCAAACUCUGGUAGUUUUAAAAUAGACCCACAAAUUCCUUUUUAUGUUUGUUUGUUUGUUUUUUUGGGCUGCAUGCGGAAUCUUAGUUCUCUGACCAGGGAUCAAACCUGCGCCCCCUGCAGUGAAAGCACGGAGUCUUAACCACUGGACCGCCAGGGAAGUCCCCCCACAAAUUCUUGAUACUCUUUCCCUCAAUAGGUGAAGCUUAAUUCCCCUCCCCUUGAGUGUGGGGUGGACCUAGCGACUUGCUUCCAGCAAAUAGAAAUAUGAUGAAAGUGACAGUGUUUUUCCUCCAAGACUAGGUCAUAAAAGGCAACGGAGCUUGCUCUCUUAGGUGGCUCGCUCUGGGGGCAGCUAGCCCUGAAGCAGCCCAUGAAGAGGCCCUUGUGGCCUGAGGAGAGGACAUGGGGGUGUCACACAGUCUGAGAAGAUUUUUCUAAGCUCCCUUUUAAGCUAUAGGAAAAUAAAUCGGCGUCACUCGCAGCAGCCUGAUCACCACGCCUUCCAGACCUCAGUCAGCCUCUGGAAUUCUCGUGAGGAAGGAGACUUUCAAAUCUGGGAUGUGAGUUUGGAUCCCACCAGUGGUGGUUCACUUUGCAAAGACAGUGAUACAUGAGGUUAAGAACACAGGCUUUCAGGUCAAGCAGGCAGAGGCAUGGAUAACGGGCCUUUCUCUUAAUGGUCUUGUGAACCUGCAGGAUUCAUAGAGCUUCCUUUUUUUUUUUUUAAUUAAUUUAUUUAUUUUGGCUGCGUUGGGUCUUUGUUGCUGCGCAUGGGCUUUCUCUGGUUGUGGCGAGUGGGGGCUACUCUUCAUUGUGGUGCGCAGGCUUCUCAUUGCGGUGACUUCUCUUGUUGUGGAGCACAGGCUCUAGGCACACGGGCUUCAGUAGUUGCAGCACGUGGGCUCAGUAGUCGUGGCUCGUGGGCUCUAGAGCGCAGGCUCAGUAGUUGUGGCACGCGGGCUUAGUUGCUCCGCGGCAUGUGGGAUCUUCCCGGACCAGGGCUUGAACCUGUGUUCCCUGUGUUGGCAGGCGGAUUCUUAACCGCUGUGCCACCAGGGAAACCCCCCCUAUAGCUUCUUUAUGCCUCAGUUUACUCAUCUAUAACACAGCACAAUAAUACUCAUCUAGAUUUGGUUUGAGUAUGGAAUAAGAUAAUGAACAAAAAGCACACUUUGGUAAAUUCCCAGAAAGUGGAGUUAUUAUUGCUAAGUUGUUUUAACUGUUUUGCACUCUUUUACUAGCAAACAGAGAAGGAGCAAAAAACACAGAGGUGUUUGGCAGGCAUCCUUGCCGAUGAGUGGCUGCAAAUGAUGGAAGGGAACCAAAAUUAGUUUAAGCCAAAGGGGAGUUAAUUACGGAUUGUGAGGUCACGUGUCCAGCUGGACCUCAGAAUAGUUGGAAUCAAGAAUUCAAAUCCUAAACGUAUGGACACCAAGGCGGGAAAGUGGUGGGGGGUUGGUGAUGGUGGUGUGACGAAUUGGGAGACUGGGACUGACAUACAUACACUAAUAUGUAUAAAAUAGAUAACUAAUGAGAA